rnacentral:rRNA from 1 species
UACGUAGGGGGCGAGCGUUGUCCGGAUUUAUUGGGCGUAAAGAGCGUGUAGGCGGCCAGGUAGGUCUGCUGUGAAAACUCGAGGCUCAACCUCGAGACGUCGGCGGAAACCAUCUGGCUAGAGUCCGGAAGAGGCGAGUGGAAUUCCUGGUGUAGCGGUGAAAUGCGCAGAUAUCAGGAGGAACACCAAUGGCGAAGGCAGCUCGCUGGGACGUGACUGACGCUGAGACGCGAAAGCGUGGGGAGCAAACAGG